rnacentral:rRNA from 1 species
AGUUUGAUCAUGGCUCAGAUUGAACGCUGGCGGAUGCUUUACAUAUGCAAGCUUCAACGGCAGCACGGACUUCGGUCUGGUGGCGAGUGGCGAACGGGUGAGUAAUGUAUCGGAACGUGCCUAGUAGCGGGGGAUAACUACGCGAAAGCGUAGCUAAUACCGCAUACACCCUUCGGGAAAGUGUGAUCUUCGCCUGCACUAUUAGAGCGGCCGAUAUCGAUUAGCGAAGUUGGUGGGGUAACGGCUCACCAUGCGACGAUCCGUAUUGGUUUGAGGACGACCAGCCACACUGGGACUGGAGACACGGCCCAGACCGCAUGGGAGGCAGCAGUGGGGUUCUUGGACAUUGGGAGAAACCCUGAUCCAGCCAUCCCUGCGUAUGCCUUCGCUGUAAAGGGCACUUUUGGUGGUGAAAAACGGCACGGGAUAAUACUCCCGUGCAACUGACGGUACCUGCAGAAUAAGCACCGCCAACUACGCCAGCAGCCGCGGUAAUACGUAGGUGCAAGCGUUAAUCGGAAUUACUGGGCGUAAAACGCGCAGGCGGUUCGGAAAGAAAGAUGUGAAAUCCCAGAGCUAACUUUGAACCGCAUUUUUAACUGUCGAGCUAGAGUGUGUCAGAGGGAGGCGUGGAAUUCCGGGCGCGGGAACACAGUGAAAUGCGUAGAUAUGUGCGGAGUGAACACCGAUGGUGAAGGCAGCCUCCUGGGAUAACACUGACGUCACGCACUGAAAGCGGGGAGCAAACAGGAUUAGAUACCCGGUAGUCCACGCCCUAACGAUGUCAUAACUAGCUGUUGGGCCUUCGGGCUGGUAGCGCAGCUACGCGUGAAGUUGACCGCCUGGGGAGUACGGUCGCAGAUUUAAAACUCAAAGGAAUUGACGGGGACCCACGGGGUUGCGGAUGAUGUGGAUUAAUUCGAUGCACCGCGAAAACCUUACCUACCCCUUGACAUGUCUGGAAUCCCGAAGAGAUUUGGGAGUGCUCAAGAGAACCGGAACACAGGUAUGCAUGGCUGUCGUCAGCUCGUGUCGGAGAUGCUGGGUUAAGUCCCGCAACGAGCGCAACCUUUGUCACAUAGUUACAUGAAAGUACCGAAUGAGAUUGCCGGUGACAACCGAGAAGGUGGGGAUGUCAAGUCCUCAUGGCCUUAUGGGUAGGGCUUCUCACACGUCAGCGCGCAAUGGUCGGGACAGAGGGUCGCCAACCCGCGAGGGGGAGUCAAUCCAAACCGAUCGUAGGUCCGGAUCGCAGUCUGCAACUCGACUGCGUGAAGCCUGAAUCGUGCGUAAUCGCGAUCAGCAUGCGGUGAAUACGUUCCCGGGUCUUGCACACACCGCCUGUCACACCAUGGGAGUGGGUUUUACCAGGAAGUGCAGCGAGCCCAACCGCGAGGGCGAUUACCACGGUAGGAUUCAUGACUGGGGUGUCGUACGCUGCAA